GUCCUCCCAAUGCUUACCGCAGACAGUGCUCCACCGCCCACUGUCUGUACAGAAAGAGGAGGUAAAGCAUCUUCUCCGCCUACACCACAGGCCGCUGUGUGCUGGUCCUGUAUUGUUAUCGGGGGGACAUGU